UACGGAGGGUGCAAGCGUUAAUCGGAAUGACUGGGCGUAAAGGGCACGCAGGCGGUCUGUCAAGUCGGAUGUGAAAUCCCCGGGCUUAACCCGGGAACGGCAUUCGAAACUGGCAGGCUGGAGUCUCGUAGAGGGGGGUAGAAUUCCAGGUGUAGCGGUGAAAUGCGUAGAGAUCUGGAGGAAUACCGGUGGCGAAGGCGGCCCCCUGGACGAAGGCUGACGCUCAGGUGCGAAAGCGUGGGGAGCAAACAGG
rnacentral:rRNA from 1 species